ACGAACGCUGGCGGCGUGCCUAAUACAUGCAAGUCGAACGAGAGCGACCGGUGCUUGCACUGGUCAAUCUAGUGGCGAACGGGUGGGUAACACGUGGGUAACCUGCCCAUCAGAGGGGGAUAACAUCCGGAAACGGAUGCUAAAACCGCAUAGGUCUUCGAACCGCAUGGUUUGAAGAGGAAAAGAGGCGCAAGCUUCUGCUGAUGGAUGGACCCGCGGUGCAUUAGCUAGUUGGUGAGGUAACGGCUCACCAAGGCCGUGAUGCAUAGCCGACCUGAGAGGGUGAUCGGCCACAUUGGGACUGAGACACGGCCCAAACUCCUACGGGAGGCAGCAGUAGGGAAUCUUCCGCAAUGGACGCAAGUCUGACGGAGCAACGCCGCGUGAGUGAAGAAGGUUUUCGGAUCGUAAAACUCUGUUGUUAGAGAAGAACAAGUGCUAGAGUAACUGUUAGCGCCUUGACGGUAUCUAACCAGAAAGCCACGGCUAACUACGUG
rnacentral:rRNA from 1 species